GUGUUGUAUGAAAAGAGAGAAGGUUAGCACUCCCCUUGAUAAGGAAGGAAGAGGUCCUAGUGGCCUUUACCACAAAAUAUAGUUAAGGCAUUGCCACCUACUCUGUGGCAUCUAAUCAUGUUUAA
rnacentral:ncRNA from 1 species